rnacentral:rRNA from 1 species
CCCUCCCUCUGUCGGCAUGCCUAACACAUGCAAGUCGAACGAGACCUUCGGGUCUAGUGGCGCACGGGUGCGUAACGCGUGGGAACCUGCCCUUAGGUUCGGAAUAACUCCCCGAAAGGGGUGCUAAUACCGGAUAAUGUCUUCGGACCAAAGAUUUAUCGCCUUUGGAUGGGCCCGCGUUGGAUUAGCUAGUUGGUAGGGUAAAAGCCUACCAAGGCGACGAUCCAUAGCUGGUCUGAGAGGAUGAUCAGCCACACUGGGACUGAGACACGGCCCAGACUCCUACGGGAGGCAGCAGUGGGGAAUAUUGGACAAUGGGCGAAAGCCUGAUCCAGCAAUGCCGCGUGAGUGAUGAAGGCCUUAGGGUUGUAAAGCUCUUUUACCCGGGAUGAUAAUGACAUUACCGGGAGAAUAAGCUCCGGCUAACUCCGUG